rnacentral:lncRNA from 1 species
ACAGCUAAGGGUGUGAAAGCAAAUCAAAAUCGCAUACCGCAUCCAAAACCAGCAACCAAACAAACAAUUUUAUGUUCCAAAUUCAAGUCAUAAUAAUAAAUAUCAGCAAUCAAACAUGCCUUCAACCAAAGGAGGAGAUCCAAAAACUGAAAACACCUAGUCUAGUAAAUAAAACAACUCAAUCUGAAAUUCGGAUAAAAGCCAGUGCCGGUAAAGAUAAAUAGUCAUUCACCAAGGAAGUAAAUCCCAGCAGCAUAAAUAACUUAAGAAACAAGGCUGUCAUUAAGGGACAAUGAAGACAACUGAUCAGCAGCACCGCCAGCCUGCUGCUGUGCAACAUUCCUGAGGACGUCCAUUGCCUCUGCCACCUUUGCUUUCAGGGCUUCUGGUGACUCAAGCAAGUGCAGAACUUCAGUCUGGUCCAUCUCCAGAAGCAUUCCAGUAACUUUAGCAGCAUUGUCGGGCUCCAACUGUUCCACAAGUGGGUAAAGAUUCUCACCCAGCAUCUGCAAAUAUACAACCAACAAACAGUGGUUAGUUAAGGAUGCUAAAAUGUGUAAUGAGUAGAGCUCGGGAUAAAACUAAGAUUUAUUAGCCUAGUAAACACUAUAUGAAGUAACAUCUAGUUUUUACCUCCCCCAGACCUAAACCUAAAUCCCCAAAAUAUAUCAGUUCCCCGCCCUAAUCCCCCAUUGGGAUGUAGAAAUAAAACUCAAACUCAUCCCAAACAGGUUCAGUAUCCCCCGGCCCUCCACUAUUCACACAGUGAAAUCAAUUUUUUUAAUAUAAACAUUUCAUCUUCCCAGCAUCAUAUUACAUUACAAAUAGUAAAAAAUACAAUCUCAAAAAUUUCCAUACAUACAUUUCAAAUAAUAAUAAUAAUAAUGUACAAACCAAAUUAUAAAAAAAUUGAUCAUAUAUUUAAUAUUCCAAAUUAUCAAAACUAAAUAAUAAAGUAUAUAAUGAAAUAAAUGGGACAGGUUAGGGUGGGUACCAGUGUCUCCAUUACCCAACCUGUCCCCAUAUUUUGUAAUCAGAGAAAAACUAAACUCAGUCAAAGUGGGUUUCCCCGUCAAACUCAGGGCAGGUUUGGGUGGGUCUCGACAGUACGUGUUAUGUUGCCAUGUCUAGUGACAAGCUGUUAGUAGUCCAAUGGGUUCACUUAUGUGAGUAGGAGUGUGUAUCUAAAUAGAAUAAGGAUGAAAGAAAUGUCAUUGGAUAAUUUUUCUUAUUGGUUCAACAAGGGAGAUACUAGGAUCACUAAUUUCCAGAGGCUGGGUGUUUCACGGUUUCUGUAUUGUUACAGCAGUUACCAAUAUUAGCAUAGUUUCUGUUUUUAUGUUUACUUUUGUAACUGUCCCUUCGGAAGUUAUUUAUUACCAAUUGCAGAUUCUGUUUUAAUGUUUUGUUAUUGUAACUGUCCCAUGGGAAGUUAAUACCAACUGUAACAUCUAUUAUCCAUCAAUAUCAGGUAUUCCCUCUGUCCCAUAUUAUAAGCAAAUUUCACCUUUUUAGAUUCAUUAAAUAAUUAAUGUAUCUAGUCUAUAUAUAGAUUAGAUACAUUAGUUAUUUAAUGAAUCUAGAAAGGUGAAAUUCGCUUAUAAUAUGGGACGGAGGGAGUAUAUUCCAUACAUGCUGCAGUAGAAAUUCAGAUAUCUAACAAAAGCUUACCGUCCUCUGCUGCUCUGGAGAUGCAUUAGCCAGAUGAGAAGCCAAAGCACCAAUGGGAAUUUGUUGUGAAAGUGAUGCAUCACGAAGGGGCAUCCCACCCACAUCAUAAGGAACAGAAUACAUGCCUCCAGCAACUCCAGGCAUGGGACCAUCAGGCAUGCCCCUACCAGAAGGAUAGCGAUACACACGCCCCCUAGGAAGCAUCUGCCAAUCCCAAACAUAAUAGGUUAGUGAUCAAAAAACGGAAAGAUGACCCACAAAGUUACAAACACUUGAUGGAAUUCCACCAACCUGUUGUGGCAUAAGAGGAACUGGCUGCUGGGACUGCUGGACUGCACCUCCACGUCUUCCACCAGGACGCUGCCCUUGCUGUCCCUGCUGAACCAUUGGCACAAAGAAAUUUGGCACAGGACCCCCACCAGGCCUCAUUCCAGGCACAAGUUGUUGUUGAUACCCAAAUCCAGGCUGAGAAAAUUUCCAACGAUGAACAUAAAUAUAAUGAAAUUACCCCAUAACUUAAGGAAAAAUCAGAGGGAUAAUAUUUGUUGGGUGCACUGCUAAAGUUUAAAAAUAAACUGGCUUACCUGGGAAGGAAUGAUGGCAGGAGGGCCUUGACCAUAAAAUAUUUGUUGACCCAUACCUGGACCACCAGGGGGAUACAUAGGCAUGCGAGGAGCAACAGAUGGGGGCAUCGCAACAGGACGCAUUUGAGCAAAUUGAGCCUGCAUAAACAAUUGAGCGCAAAAAAUGAACAUUAAUAUGGUCACAUCAACUCAAUAACCAAGCAGAAUUAACCUAUCAGAUGUUGAAAAAACACAACAUCAUCAACUCCCUCUAUUUCCCAAUGAAAGCCCACUUAAGCAAGGAAAAUGUGUUUCAAACUAAAUGUCACAUUCACUAUUCAAUGUAGAAUUAAUUACUAUUUAUCCAAUUGUACCCUCUAAGAUUACUACGCACUCUACUUCCAAAGAGUUAAAUUCCAUUUGGCAUUUAAUAUGGUGGGAGGCACCAAUACUUAAGAAGGUUAGUUCAAGAAAAACCUUAAACAAUACUCAUUUUGGAACGGAGGGAGUAUAUGAUAUAAUGUUUAAUUCUGCAUUUUGGAUUACAAAUGAUCUAAAAAUCAAGAGUCAUGGAUUUUAUUUUAAAGCAAUAAACCAUAAAAUUAUAAGAAGUCAAGUAGGAGAGUAAUUUAAAUUACCAAUAAAAUGACAAGAUUAAAUAAUAAGCAAAUAUGAUUUAAAUUACCAAUUAAAUGACUGUAGUAAAUCAUAAACAAAUAUGACCAUAUUAUAUACAUCCGACAAGACAAGAUAUAACUAAGUUUAAUAUGAUUUAAGGUUAAUAACGACCUAUAAGUGUGCCUAAUAUUAAGGCCUUGAUUAUCAGAAAAUGGUUGAAUACGAACAAAAAUAUACAACAGAUUACACCUGAGUUUAGUAAUAGUUGCAGGGAUGGAUUAAGAGCAAAAAAAUAAAAAGACCAGUUCAAACUGAUUUACUACCACAAAAUCAUAAAAAGUUAUGCUGAUUUGACAAUGUAUGAAACAAUGCUAUUAUCUAAUUUUUUGGUCAAACACCUAAACAGCUCAAAAGGUUUUCCAUUUGCAUCCACAGGUGUGAUUUGUUUUUUCUAGUAUGGGAAGGUAAUAAAUAAUUGCACCUACACAUACCUGCAGCCUAGCUCUUCUAUCUUCUUUCCGUUGGGCCAGAGUCACAUACAAAGGUUUGCUUACCACCAUUUUGCCAUUCAUCUCCAAGAGCUAGCAAAACAAAAAAUAGCACAACAAGGAAAAUCAGAUCCAACCUAAAAACCCACCUGUUUUAUUAACCGAUAAUAUACCAUACAACUUACUGCUCUAGAUGCCUCCUCAGGAGUAGAGAAUGCAACGAACCCAGAUCCUCGACUUAUGCCAUUGGGGUCUCUCAUUACCUUUCAAGUGAAAGAAAAGCAACAUAUAGAUUAUGUACCUGGUGCAUAUACAGUGAGAAGCAAAUCAAAGCAAUUAUACAUACCUUGCAAGAGGUAAUUGUACCAAAAGAGGAGAACAGCUCCUUAAGUUUGUCAUCAACAAUGCUAUCAUCCAAAUUUUUGACAUACAGGUUUGCCCCUUGAUAUUUAUCAGCAGCUUCUUUCAUGCUCUGCUCAAAUUUUUGUUUCAGUUCAUGCUCCCUUUCAGAUUUCUUUUGAGCUUUUCCAACAUACCAUUCCUUGUCAUCAAUCUUUUUCCCAUUAAGAGCCUCAACAGCCCUAGCAGCAUCAUCGGUACUCUCAAAGUUUACAAAUCCAAAACACUUUGAUUUCCCAUCCCCAUCCCUCAUUACUACAGCACUGGUAAUUGUUCCAAAUUCCCCAAAAAUCUGCUUCAACUCAUCGUCGGUGGUUGUUUCCGAUAGAUUCUUAACAAAAACAUUGUUGAAUUUUGCCCUGUCAGUUGUGGUCUCUCUCUCUUGCUUGCGAAGGAAGGGUCCCACAUAAACUUGCUUAUCAUUCAACAGCAUACCAUUAAGCUUUUCAAUAGCUUUUUGAGCAGCCUCCUCACUAUCAAACUGAACAAAGCCGUAGCCUUUUGAUUGGCCAGAUCCAUCCACAGCAACCUUGCAAGAAAGGAUACUCCCAAAUGUAGAAAAUGUAUCAUGCAAUGCCUUAUGGUCAAUUGCCUUGUCCAAAUUCUGCAGUAAUUAUUAAAUUAGAAAGAUUCAAAAUAGUUCGAACAGAUCAAACUAGGUUAUGCAAUCCAGAAGUUUAGCAUGAUUUUUUCCAUUAUCAGACAGGGAUGGAAGAACCAAAGAUAGUUAUACCUUAAUAAAUAUAUUUCCUUGACCACUUUUGCGGAUACUGGGGUCACGGUGUGAAUACAUAAUACGAAUGGGCCUGUUGUUCAGAGGAGUGAAGUUCAGAACAUCCAAUGCUCUGGCAGCUGUAUCCACACAGCAAAAUAUAUCAUGAACAUCAGAUAUACAAAUCGCACGGAUACCACAACAGCAACAAAAUAAAAGAUUUCAUUACUCGAGAGAACAAAAACACAAAGAUAUGCAUAUGAAGGCUAAGUCAAUGGCAAGUGAAAAUCACAUCAUACAAAAGUUCGUGAUAUAAAGAUAGCUCGUGAAAACAUACUUCUGUUCAAUACUCCUACUAGCCAAUGACACUAAUAUUGAGUGUAACAAAGUACACAACAUUUCACUACUCUAAUAUUCCAUAUGAUGUGUUACUGAUAAACUCAUCUUACUGAUAACAAAUAGAGUCCUUGGCAGACUAAUUCUCAAAUGUUAUGACAUGUCUAUAACAUAAUAGUAGUAACCACAACAAGAGGAGGACAAAAAAAAAAGUAGAUUGACUAAUGUUUGGGAACAGAGGUAGUGCUAGAGAGUUAAGUUAAAGCAACCAAAAGAGAGCGAUAGAGAUAAAUAAAAACAUAGAAUUUGUAUAUCCACCGCCAAUUAAAAGUAUGGAAUUCGUCCCUUUAUAAAACUAUUAACAUAAUAGAGGUCAUACACACUACAUAUGCAGGUCUUUGACUGGUAUGCAAUAUUAGCAAGAACUGCUCUACAUGAAUCUAGCUCCAAAUUACUCCUAAUAGUGUAACAGUCGCUGUGUAAAAAAUUCAGUUACCAGAGGUAACCAGCAUUGCUUAUAGUGUUUGAAGUGGAGCUAUUGCAGGAUUUCUACUGCAGCAUUCCAUUAACAAUUACUGUUAACACUACUUAGUAAGUAAUCUUUUUGAGAUGGAAAAUCAAAGGUUAUAUCAGUCAUCAAGUAGUGCAAGCAUC